rnacentral:piRNA from 1 species
CUCGCUUAGCAUGCGAGAGGUAG